rnacentral:tRNA from 1 species
AAAGGGAGACCUAAUUCGGGUAGAAGACGAAAAAAUAGUAGUCGAAACCAAGAAUCAAUCCCAAAAGGUCGGAACGAGGUAUGUGGCUUUCAAACUAGGUUCUGGGUUCACAAAAGACCUGAAUCAGGAACAAGGGCUAUUAGCUCAGGUGGUUAGAGCGCACCCCUGAUAAGGGUGAGGUCCCUGGUUCGAGUCCAGGAUGGCCCACCUGCACAGGUGGCAAAAACAAGAGAAACGAGGAAUCAGCACCUUAUCUUACUUACAUAGUAAGAGAGAAUGCUGGCUCUGAGUAAAGAGUCCAGAGGAACCUUGAAAACUGCAUAGAGCUAGGUGAAAAAGCCAAAAAAGAAGACCGCAA